rnacentral:rRNA from 1 species
AUUGAACGCUGGCGGCAGGCCUAACACAUGCAAGUCGAACGGUAACAGGAAGCAGCUUGCUGCUUCGCUGACGAGUGGCGGACGGGUGAGUAAUGUCUGGGAAACUGCCUGAUGGAGGGGGAUAACUACUGGAAACGGUAGCUAAUACCGCAUAACGUCGCAAGACCAAAGAGUGGGACCUUAGGGCCUCUUGCCAUCGGAUGUGCCCAGAUGGGAUUAGCUUGUAGGUGGGGUAACGGCUCACCUAGGCGACGAUCCCUAGCUGGUCUGAGAGGAUGACCAGCCACACUAGAACUGAGACACGGUCCAGACUACUACGGGAGGCAGCAGUGGGGAAUAUUGCACAAUGGGCGCAAGCCUGAUGCAGCCAUGCCGCGUGUAUGAAGAAGGCCUUCGGGUUGUAAAGUACUUUCAGCGGGGAGGAAGGGAGUAAAGUUAAUACCUUUGCUCAUUGACGUUACCCGCAGAAGAAGCACCGGCUAACUCCGUG